ensembl:snRNA U1 U1 spliceosomal RNA
GUACUUACCUGGCAGGGGAGACACCAUGAUCAGGAAGGUGGUUUCCCCUGCUCUCCAAGUGUGCUGUUCCCUGUAAUUUCCCCAAAUAUGGGAAACUCAGCUACAUAAUUUAUGAUAGUGGGGAACUGUGUUUGUGCUAAACUACU